GCUUGUCUCAAAGAUUAAGCCAUGCAUGUCUAAGUAUAAAUAAUUUUACUGUGAAACUGCGGAUGGCUCAUUAAAUCAGUUAUAGUUUAUUUGAUAGUCGCUUACUACAUGGAUAACCGUGGUAAUUCUAGAGCUAAUACAUGCGUAAAGACCCGACUUCUGGGAGGGUCGUAUUUAUUAGAUAACAGACCAGCAGCUUCGGCUAUUGUGGUGAAUCAUAGUAACUAAUCGGAUCGCAUGGGCUAGUCCCGCGACAAACCAUUCAAGUUUCUGCCCCAUCAGCUUUCGACGGUAGUGUAUUGGACUACCGUGGCUUUUACGGGUAACGGAGGAUUAGGGUUCGAUUCCGGAGAGGGAGCCUGAGAAACGGCUACCACAUCUAAGGAAGGCAGCAGG
rnacentral:rRNA from 1 species